CCUCAUUAGCAACAACGAGGACAGUGAGGUCAUUUAAAAUAUUCAAUCACGAUUCCUGGCCUGAACAAAGACAUCUCCUGACAGAUUAUGGUGCAGAGGAGCUGGACUUCCUGCUGGACCACUUCUCCCCCAUCCUAACAAGAAAUGGCUGUGAUACCAAGCUGGCAAGAGAGGAGUAUCAGUUGAUGAAAAUUUUCAUUGUUACCAACUACAUGGACAAGUCAUACCAUGCCCUGUGGGGGAUGAUGUUGACCAAAAUGCCGUUCUGCUCCGACUACAAAAACAUCCUACAUCUUGUACACAUGAUGCUUGCACUCCCAGUGUCUUCUGCUGUGUGCGAGAGAGGAUUCUCUUCCCAGAAGAGGAUUAAGUCAGAUGUCAGGGGGUCACUUCAUGUGGACACUGUUGAGGACUUAAUCAGAAUUAGUAUGGAGGGACCGAGCAUCGACGAUUUUGAUGCCAAAGAGACUGUUGACAUGUGGCUCAAUCAGGCUCAAUGUACAAGGAGGCCUAAUUACAAGGGCUGGCCAACACAGGCACCUUAUCCCCCACCAAGGGAUGAUCUUUUGUAGGAAGUGUUGCACAAGUUAUGUCUACAACUUGUUCUGUUGUUGUCAGUAGAGCAUAAAUAUUCACUUUGUAUUUUUAAGCUGUAUAACUGUAUGUUAUUAAAACUAUUGCAGAAAUUUAUAAAAUUGUAGUUUAUGCAUUUAUUGUCAAAGUAUUUAUCAGUAAUACAGUGAAAAUGGUAGGAAAAUUUUGAAAGUCGAUUUAUAGUGUGCGCCCCUAAAUUUUCUGCUUGCGCCCCUAAAAUUUUAAGUUAGGGGCCACUGUGCUCCUAGUAAAAAAAGUUAGUCUGGAGCCCUGUUAACUGUUUACUUGUCUUUCUUUUUUUUCUUUUUUUUUUUAGUUUGUUGCUGGCUGCCAGACUCAAUGUUAAUUUUAUGUUUUAUUACAAUGCUCUUAUCUUUUGUUACUUACUGUUUAAUCUUGUCGCUCACGAAUGAACAACAUGCUUGAUUCAAUAUUCUUGGACUCUUGGAAUGUCUGUGGUUCAGGCCACCCGAUAAAGCGAGGUAAAGUUUUCGCACAUUUGAAGUCCCUGAAACCUGACAUAAUAUUCUUGCAAGAAAAGCAUGUUAAAGCCACUCAACAUAUGAUACUCAGAGCUAACUGGAUUUCACAGGUCUACCAGUCACCUUUUAAAUCUAAUGCUAGAGGCGUGGCCAUUCUUUUCCGUAAAUCUGUGCCCUUCCAUUUUCACUCUUUCAUAACUGACCCGAAUGGCAGGUUUAUAAUUUUAUCCGGCUAUAUCAAUUUAUUCCCAUUAUACUUAUAAAUAUCUACGGA